UUCUGGCUCAGGAUGAACGCUAGCUACAGGCUUAACACAUGCAAGUCGAGGGGCAGCAUAACGAAAGCUUGCUUUGUUGAUGGCGACCGGCGCACGGGUGAGUAACGCGUAUCCAACCUUCCCUAUACUAGAGGAUAGCCCGGCGAAAGUCGGAUUAAUACUCUAUGUUCUUCGUAGAAGACAUCUGAAAUGAAGCAAAGGUUUACCGGUAUAGGAUGGGGGAUGCGUCUGAUUAGGUUGUUGGCGGGUAACGGCCCACCAAGCCCACGAUCAGUAGGGGUUCUGAGAGGAAGGUCCCCCACAUUGGAACUGAGACACGGUCCAAACUCCUACGGGAGGCAGCAGUGAGGAAUAUUGGUCAAUGGACGAGAGUCUGAACCAGCCAAGUAGCGUGCAGGAUGACGGCCCUAUGGGUUGUAAACUGCUUUUAUACAGGGAUAAAGUGCACUACGUGUAGUGUUUUGUAGGUACUGUAUGAAUAAGGACCGGCUAAUUCCGUGCCAGCCGCCGC
rnacentral:rRNA from 1 species